UAUCACACAGAGCUCCCGGCACAUCGCGUUUGUUGUUUAUAUCAUACGCAUGCGCGCACGUCUCACAAGAUUUUCCUUAUAUCAAUAACCUCGCGUGUGAUUGGAGGAGCCCGACAGGCUUCUCGCCUUCGUCCAAUCGCGUGCGAGGUCAUGGCCACGGCUCACACAGCAGUACAAGAGGACCAUUAAGCGAUGUUUGGUUUGGUGUUUGUAACUCUCCAAGAAGAGAAGACGGGUGCACAAUCCCAAGAUUGCGGUAAGAAUAAUUUUAUGUAAAAGCAUAUUUUUAAGUAGCCCAAGCUGUGUGUUUUAUUGCUUAGAGGUGUUUUUGUCUUGUAAUUUUUAGGAGGCUGUACGGCGUCUCUGAGGCACACUGCAGGCGCUUUGACCCAGAGCAAAGACUAACGUCGCCUCAUAACGAAGCCGUGACCUCCUAUUUGGUUGGGGCUAUUUUAGCAAGUCCACAUUUAACUGCUGAGAAUGACGACAUUGUUUCUGCCUGUAAGACGUAUUAUAAGUCGGUUCGCCGGAGCUUCAGAUACAAACAACCUGAACUCGCAUCGCGGCGAAAAGUUUAGCUCGGAGUCGAUACAGAAGAAAAAGGUUGCUGGAAGCGAGACGAAGUGCGCUGGCUGAGGGUGAGAUGGACAUUUGGAAGUGCGCCACCAUAGAUCUCAUGUCUGAUGAAGACGGCAUUGUUGACGGGGUGUCUGGAUGGAUUGUGCGGCCACCGCCCUCUCGCAGCCUUGAACUCUCCGAGCUCUGUGCCACGCUGCAAUUCAGAUUAGAGGCGAUACCAAAGUACAGGGGAACUCACCAUAUAUGCCUGCAACAGCGACUUUUUUACAACGUUUUUGAGUUUGUUUGUUUUUUCUUUUUCUUUUUUCAACUUUGAAAAAGAUUUUUAGGGAUCUUUCCCGAAUGUCUUGGGCACUUUUUGACGUGUUUGGAGGACAAAAUAAGAGACAUUAUGCUGCUUUGUACAUAGUUGUGUGUUUCUAAUUAAAGCUCUUUCUUUGAAUAAACAGCUGUGUGUUUAUAAAUAAACCUCUUUGUUUUCUCGUAUAUUUCUUGAUGGUGUGAAUAAUGAAGUACAUAGCACAAUGACAUUAUUAUAUAAAAAAAUAAUAUCACAUAAAUUAUAUAUUUAUUAUUAUUAUUAUUGGGGUUUACAUUUAUAAUGAGCCAGGGUGCCCAAUAACCCCCCUCUUUAGAGUAACGGCCCGACUUGAAUUUACUCACUCGGUAUUGGCUGAAGCCACUUCUUUUAAACAAGAAAAAUCCCUUGUGAUUGGUUUGAAGUGAUCUGCCAACCAUUCACGGGAGAUUUUACUUGUUUAAAAGUAGUGGCUUCAGCCAAUACUGAGUGAGUACAUUCAAGUGGGCAGUUACUCUAGUUUCGCUGCUAUUCACAUGCUAAUUAGACUAGAGACGCUCUACCUGGCCGGCAGAGGUUUCGCUGCCAUUCAUAUGCUAAUUAGAGGCAUCGUACCCCCGCGGGGCUCUCCACCUGCGUCAUGGUUCGUUUACGACAAUUUGUGACACAGACGAACGCGACGCUCGCUGCCUGUAAAUUGAGGAAAGCUGCCGAAAAUUAGGGAGAUUUUCGGGAGCCUACAGGCGCUUACGGGGACGAAAAUCCCACUUUUCAU